rnacentral:rRNA from 1 species
UACGGAGGGUGCAAGCGUUAAUCGGAAUUAUUGGGCGUAAAGGGUGCGUAGGUGGUUAGGUAAGUUAUCUGUGAAAGCCCCGGGCUCAACCUGGGACGGUCAGAUAAAACUGCUUGACUCGAGUAUAGGAGAGGGUAGUGGAAUUUCCGGUGUAGCGGUGAAAUGCGUAGAGAUCGGAAGGAACACCAGUGGCGAAGGCGGCUACCUGGCCAGAUACUGACACUGAUGCACGAAAGCGUGUGCAGCCCUCAGG